UUGGAUUCCCAUUUCUGGGAUUUUUGUUCAUCGUUGAUGAUGAACAGUGGCUGUAGUAUGAGAAAACCCUAGCCUUGCCCAGAAAUUGCACGCGUGGCUGGUGCUGUUUCGUUUCUGCGCCUGUUUUUACUGUUCCAAUCCCAGGAGCCAAUCAUUUUAUUUCGUUUCCCUGGCCCAAAACGCGGCCGUUUGGUUAAGUGGCAAGGGUAUUUACAAAAAUGCCACAGCGUGCCCCUUGGUCCCAUUAGUCCAUGUGUGUUUU
rnacentral:lncRNA from 1 species